UGGGGAUUAGUGGCGAACGGGUGAGUAACACGUGGGCAAUCUGCCCUGCACUCUGGGACAAGCCCUGGAAACGGGGUCUAAUACCGGAUACUGAUCCUCGCAGGCAUCUGCGAGGUUCGAAAGCUCCGGCGGUGCAGGAUGAGCCCGCGGCCUAUCAGCUAGUUGGUGAGGUAACGGCUCACCAAGGCGACGACGGGUAGCCGGCCUGAGAGGGCGACCGGCCACACUGGGACUGAGACACGGCCCAGACUCCUACGGGAGGCAGCAGUGGGGAAUAUUGCACAAUGGGCGAAAGCCUGAUGCAGCGACGCCGCGUGAGGGAUGACGGCCUUCGGGUUGUAAACCUCUUUCAGCAGGGAAGAAGCGAAAGUGACGGUACCUGCAGAAGAAGCGCCGGCUAACUACGUGCCAGCAGCCGCGGUAAUACGUAGGGCGCAAGCGUUGUCCGGAAUUAUUGGGCGUAAAGAGCUCGUAGGCGGCUUGUCACGUCGGUUGUGAAAGCCCGGGGCUUAACCCCGGGUCUGCAGUCGAUACGGGCAGGCUAGAGUUCGGUAGGGGAGAUCGGAAUUCCUGGUGUAGCGGUGAAAUGCGCAGAUAUCAGGAGGAACACCGGUGGCGAAGGCGGAUCUCUGGGCCGAUACUGACGCUGAGGAGCGAAAGCGUGGGGAGCGAACAGGAUUAGAUACCCUGGUAGUCCACGCCGUAAACGGUGGGCACUAGGUGUGGGCAACAUUCCACGUUGUCCGUGCCGCAGCUAACGCAUUAAGUGCCCCGCCUGGGGAGUACGGCCGCAAGGCUAAAACUCAAAGGAAUUGACGGGGGCCCGCACAAGCGGCGGAGCAUGUGGCUUAUUCGACGCAACGCGAAGAACCUUACCAAGGCUUGACAUACACCGGAAAACCCGGAGACAGGGUCCCCCUUGUGGUCGGUGUACAGGUGGUGCAUGGCGUCGUCAGCUCGUGUCGUGAGAUGUUGGGUUAAGUCCCGCAACGAGCGCAACCCUUGUCCCGUGUUGCCAGCAGGCCCUUGUGGUGCUGGGGACUCACGGGAGACCGCCGGGGUCAACUCGGAGGAAGGUGGGGACGACGUCAAGUCAUCAUGCCCCUUAUGUCUUGGGCUGCACACGUGCUACAAUGGCCGGUACAAUGAGCUGCGAUACCGCGAGGUGGAGCGAAUCUCAAAAAGCCGGUCUCAGUUCGGAUUGGGGUCUGCAACUCGACCCCAUGAAGUCGGAGUCGCUAGUAAUCGCAGAUCAGCAUUGCUGCGGUGAAUACGUUCCCGGGCCUUGUACACACCGCCCGUCACGUCACGAAAGUCGGUAACAC
rnacentral:rRNA from 1 species